AACGGCCGCGGUAUCCUAACCGUGCGAAGGUAGCGUAAUCACUUGUUCUUUAAAUGAGGACUAGUAUGAAUGGCACCACGAGGGUUAAACUGUCUCCUUUUUUUAAUCAGUGAAACUAAUCUCCCCGUGAAGAAGCGGGGAUUCUUUUAUAAGACGAGAAGACCCUAUGGAGCUUUAAACAAGUUAACACCUGCUACUAAUCUUUACUUUCCUGAACCACCACAUUAAGUAUAGCACCUCUGAUUAACAGUUUUCGAUUGGGGUGAUCAUGGAGCAAAAAUCAACCUCCACGACGAAAAGGAACACCUCCUUGAGCCAAAAGCUACAACUUGAAGCACUAAAAAACUAACGCACUUUGACCCAAUUCUUUGAGCAACGAACCAAGUUACCCUAGGGAUAACAGCGCAAUCCACUUUAAGAGCUCCUAUCGACAAGUGGGUUUACGACCUCGAUGUUGGAUCAGGGUAUCCCAGUGGUG
rnacentral:rRNA from 1 species